AGCAUAUCAAUAAGCGGAGGAAAAGAAACCAACAGGGAUUGCCCCAGUAACGGCGAGUGAAGCGGCAACAGCUCAGAUUUGAAAUCUGGCCCUCUACGGGGUCCGAGUUGUAAUCUGUAGAGGAUGCUUUUGGCGACGCGCCUUCCGAGUCCCCUGGAACGGGGCGCCAGAGAGGGUGAGAGCCCCGUAUGGUCGGACGCCGAACCUUUGUAAAGCUCCUUCGACGAGUCGAGUAGUUUGGGAAUGCUGCUCAAAAUGGGAGGUAAAUUUCUUCUAAAGCUAAAUACCGGCCAGAGACCGAUAGCGCACAAGUAGAGUGAUCGAAAGAUGAAAAGCACUUUGAAAAGAGGGUUAAAUAGCACGUGAAAUUGCUGAAAGGGAAGCGCUUGUGACCAGACUUGCGCCCGGUUGAUCAUCCAGCGUUCUCGCUGGUGCACUCUGCCGGGCUCAGGCCAGCAUCGGCUCCCCCAGGGGGAUAAAGGUCGCGGGAACGUAGCUCUCUCCGGGGAGUGUUAUAGCCCGUGGCGGAAUACCCUUAGGGGGGGUCGAGGCCCGCGUUCGCAAGGAUGCUGGCGUAAUGGUCACCAGCGACCCGUCUUGAAACACGGACCAAGGAGUCAAGCAUUAGGGCGAGUCUUUGGGUGUAAAACCCGCAGGCGCAAUGAAAGUGAACGGAGGUGAGAGCUUCGGCGCAUCAUCGACCGAUCCUGAUGUUCUCGGAUGGAUUUGAGUAAGAGCCUUACCGCUUGGACCCGAAAGAUGGUGAACUAUGCCUGAAUAGGGUGAAGCCAGAGGAAACUCUGGUGGAGGCUCGCAGCGGUUCUGACGUGCAAAUCGAUCGUCAAAUUUGGGCAUGGGGGCGAAAGACUAAUCGAACCAUCUAGUAGCU
rnacentral:rRNA from 2 species